GAUGAAGAACGUAGCGAAAUGCGAUACGUAAUGUGAAUUGCAGAAUUCAGUGAAUCAUCGAAUCUUUGAACGCAUAUUGCGCUCUCUGGUAUUCCGGAGAGCAUGCUUGUUUGAGUAUCAGUAAACACCUCAACUUCCAUAUCUUUUUUUGAAAUGGGAGUUGGACUUGAGUGAUCCCAACGCUUUUCCUCACCGAAAAGUGGCGGGUUACUUGAAAUGCAGGUGCAGCUGGACUUUUCUCUGAGCUAUAAGCAUAUCUAUUUAGUCUGCCUAAAAAACAGAUUAUUACCUUUGCUUCAGCUAACAUAAAGGAGAUUAGUUCUUGUGCUGACUGAUGCAGGAUUCACAAAGACAGCUUCGGCCGACUUUGUAAACUCGAUCUCAAAUCAAGUAAGACUACCCGCUGAACUUAAGCAUAUCAAUAAGCGGAGGA
rnacentral:misc_RNA from 1 species